rnacentral:rRNA from 1 species
GACGAACGCUGGCGGCGUGCCUAACACAUGCAAGUCGAGCGGAGACAGUGAGUAGCUUGCUAUGAGCUGUUUUAGCGGCGGACGGGUGAGUAACGCGUGAGCAACCUUUCCCAGACAGGGGAAUAACACACCGAAAGGUGUACUAAUACCGCAUAAGACCACGGGAUCACAUGGUUCUGGGGUAAAAGAUUUAUCCGGUUUUGGGGUGGGCUCGCGUCCGAUUAGGUAGUUGGUGAGGUAACGGCCCACCAAGCCGACGAUCGGUAGCCGACCUGAGAGGGUGAUCGGCCACAUUGGAACUGAGACACGGCCCAAACUCCUACGGGAGGCAGCAGUGGGGAAUAUUGCACAAUGGGGGAAACCCUGAUGCAGCGACGCCGCGUGAGCGAUGAAGGUCUUCGGGAUUGUAAAACUCCUGUUGUUGAGGAAGAUAAUGACGGUACUCAACAAGGAAGUGACGGNUAACUACGUG